rnacentral:rRNA from 1 species
UACGAAGGGGGCUAGCGUUGUUCGGAAUUACUGGGCGUAAAGCGUAUGCAGGCGGACUUUUAAGUCGGGGGUGAAAUCCCGAGGCUCAACCUCGGAACUGCCUUCGAUACUGGAAGUCUUGAGUCCGGGAGAGGUGAGUGGAACUCCGAGUGUAGAGGUGAAAUUCGUAGAUAUUCGGAGGAACACCGGUGGCGAAGGCGGCAUCCUGGACCGAGAUUGACGCUGAGGCGCGAAAGCCAGGGGAGCAAACGGG